UUAUCACCAAAUCUCCUCGCUUUUGGUGGGAACCGUCACUAACAUCGCUUCAGGUGAAACCUGCGGAAGGAUCAUUACAGUGUUAGGCUUCGGCCUCAUUCACACCCCUUGUUGAACCUCUGGUUUCUUUGGCGAUGUCAUGGACUCGUCAAACUUUAACUCUGAGAAUGUGGUACUGUCCGAGUAGGAGAUUGAAUUAUCA
rnacentral:misc_RNA from 1 species